CUAAAGAUGCACUAUGCAACUUUUUGAUUGGGGGUUCCUCUGUCUGCUUGUCACCUCUUGUCUCCAUGGAGAUGCUGUUGAUAUGUCUGAAAUCUUCCAGAGUAUGGUAUUAAACUUGCCCAUGUUUAAUGUUUUAAAACACCUUGAGCUCAUACAUACUCUUAAUGUGAGCGGGGUUGCCUUUCCACAGAUCUGACCUAUAAUCUCCCCUGUACGUCACCCGCUUGUCUCCAUAAGUAUAGGUAAGUUUAACCAUACUGUGAAAUAUUCCAGGCAAAGCAAUAACAAGCAGUUGGCACACCCUCCACCAGAAAAGUUACACAAUGCAUCUUUAAAUAGAACCACAGAAAUGAACUGAGGAAGAAAAAUCUGACAAGGGAUAAAAUUGUGUUCUGAGAUCAGACGUAGGUCUGAUGUAAGUUUAAAAUUUCACAUCCAGAAAUAAUUCUUAAUAUUUCCAAAUGAUACUCCGUGGGUUUGACCCAAUUUGGACCUGGUCCUGGUUGAGACCUGGGGUUAUUUUAAACCUUGCUUAGUUCUCAUUUUGUCCCUGACUUUAGGGUCCAGUUUACUCCUUAAACUCAUCUGUAUUCCCUUUUUCAAUUUGAAUAUGAAAUAAUAAUUGAAACAGUUCGUGAAAAUUAACCUCAAAGUACUUAGUCGUUUUUUGUAGCUUCCAACAAAGGGUUUAGACUUGACCUGGCUUAGUCUGGAUUUAGACUGGGUUUAGAACAGCUUUAGCCCGGGUUUAGACCAAGAUUUGACCAGGUUUAGACCAGCUUUAGCCCAAGAUUUGACCGGGUUUCGACCGGGUUUCGACCAAAAUUUGACUGGGUUUAGACCAAGAUUUGACUGGGUUUAGACCAGGUUUACACUGAGAUUUGACCAGGUUUAGACCAGGUUUACACUGAGAUUUGACCAGGUUUAUACCAGGUUUAGACCAAGAUUUGACCGGGUUUCGACCCUUUUACUUUCUCCGUUAAAUGACACAAACUCGCUGUGAACAAGUCUAAACUCCAUGAACUCGAACUGUGUGAUCCCUGCGUGAACCACUAGGAGACGCUACGUUCUUCCUCCCUGUUUUUCUGCAUGUCUGUUUUAGUGCAACUUUUAACAAGAAAAAAGAAAACAAAAAAUAAUAUGAACUUGUAAAGGAUUUUAUCAGGAGCCCGACGAGAAACGGGCUCAAACCUCACUUUUAAUUUCUGUCAGAAAUCAUCAUAUUUUUGGUUAAAUAGUUUGUUUUUCCUAUAGACAGAUAUAUAUAUGAGUAAAGCUAUAUAAAUCUUAACUUGUAGUGGGGUACUCAACAAUACGCUAUGGGACAAUGUGAGCGAAUGAAUGAGAAACUAAUGUUAAAGUCUCUGUACCGGAUUUUUACCGUCUUUAAAAACGUGAAACAAAGAACUAGUUCAUUUCAAAUGGUUUGCAGUGAAAGUCCAAAGUUAUUCCUCACUUACCUUAUGCAUUAUGAGCAUCCUAACUAUUCACUGCGAUGAAUUCAUAAGUGCUUUUCACAGCUUUUACAGACCAGAGCAGAGUUUUGCCAUCACUGUAAUGCUAAAAACAACUAGCAUGCUAACUAGUCCUGACACUUCCUGAUUCUUGGACGAUACGACGCUUCGAUGUAGAUAGUACACAGUGGUCUUAUUUUGACUGCAAGAGCUGCUUAUACGAUAUAUUUGUACUGGGGUAAGACACAUUUUGCUGAAAUACAUGAGGAAAAAAAUCAGGUACAGGGCCUUUAAGUCAUUUUCAUCAAAAACACUUCCAUUUUCUAUAUUUUGCAUAAACAUUUUUGCUCUGUAACCCUGUUCUAAUGUAUGUAGAUUCCUCCUCAAAAACAUACCUGGAACUUAACCUAACUUUGUAUUUAAGUGUUUUUGAUGAAAAGCAGUUUGUGUAUUUUCUGUCUGAUACAAAAAUCUGUAACUAAAACAUCAGAUUUUUGAGAAUUUUUACAACGGAAAAAUACCUAACUGCAUUUAAGUGACUGCGCAGACUGGGCACUUUUCAAUCUCUCCAACACCACAAAAAUCAGACUUAUAUUUUUCUUUAUUUUGUUUUUGUUCUGGUUCAGUUUUGGUCUAGUCCUGGUCCAGAUUGUUUGGUACUAAACCAGGACUAGACCAGGACUAAACUUGGGUCUUAUUAAACCAUCGACCUUCUUGAAAUUGGAGUUUUGAAAAGUUUCCUGCUGCUGUAUUUGUGUGAGUGGAUUGGGAACUUGUACAAAUCUGAAAUUGAAUUAUAAUUUUUAGAUUUCUGGACAUUUAGAGGUGUCUUAGAAAAGGGUUGUGGGUUCAAUGCUGCUCUGACUCGCUCAUGUCUCUUGUGCCAUCGACGCUGUAACUCUGGACUGUAAACACAACACACACUCCAUAACUUUCAAAUAAAUAUUCUUUUUCCUAAACUGGGAUCACAGAGUUUUAUGUUGUUUUCAUUCUACGCGUGUAAUCACCCCUGCUGAC
ensembl:lncRNA